CGGGGUAUGGGCAGCUCGGUAGCGCGCACCCUUGGGGUGGGUGAGGUCGCACGUUCAAAUCGUGUUACUCCGA
rnacentral:tRNA from 1 species